UGGCCCUUGAUUAGUUAUGCAAUAUGCAUAUGGAGUAAAAAUCAUUUCCGGAGUAGUUCUCUGCAACUACUGGCUGGAAUUCAACGAAACUUUAUGGGAAUCAUCAAUAUCAAGAGGAGAUGCGCAUAUCAUCGGCUUGUUCCGGUCAGACACUUUAACUCAGAGUUAUGGCCCUUGAUUAGUUAUGCAGUAUCCAUAUAGAAAAAUAUUUGUUUCCUUGCUACUUCUCUGCUACCUCCGGCUGGAAUUCAAUGAAACUUUAUGGGAUACUAAGAGGAGAUGUGCAUAUAGUCGCCUUGUUCCAGUCAGAUACUUAUAACUCAGAUUUAUGGCCCUUGAUUAGUUAUGUAGUAUGCAUACAUCUCAUUGGCAUUUCCAGAUUUUACUAUUUAACACAAAGUUAUGGCUCUGUUAUUUCCCUGAAUAUUUAUCAAGUUCAAAGAAUAUUACUGUUUAUGCCAUGAUUAAUAUAUAAAUAAAGCCUUAUGUCUUCAGUUGUUGUGUUAAUAAUAACCAGUACUCGGCGGGGGAUAUAAAUUCAACAAAUUUGCUUGUUAGUACAAGAUUUAUGACAUAAGCUCAUGUAUCCUGAUAAAAUAACUAGAAUAUUUACAGGAUAAAAGGCAUUUCCUAAUAAAGAGAUUGCAAAAAGGUUUUUUUCUUAAAAAUCUGUCUCGUCAUUUUAAUUCAUGUUCUUAAGUCUUUGACUAUUUGCAACAGCAACUUUUUGCAAAAUAACAUCAGCAGAACUUGCUUUGAGCAUCUAACUGUAAACAACAAAAAGAGAACAUUAGAGUUAAUUCCAUAACAAUAGAGUAAGGGGCCAUUGGCCCUUUAUUAAACAGAAGAAAAUAACAAAAGAAAUGGCCAAUUAUUCCAUUUUGGUUGGACGUCUGUUUGUAUAUUUACUUAUGAGUUCUGUCAGUUUAUUUUUAAACCCUUUAUAAUCAUGUGAAUUUUAAAUUAUCUCUAAUUAACUAAUAAACAUUUGAGCCGCGUCAUGACAAAACCAACAUAGUGCAUUUGCGACCAGCAUGGAUCCAGAUAAGCCUGCGCAAUCGCGCAGUCUGAUCAGGAUCCAUGCUGUUCGCUUACCAACUCUUUUACAAGUAGAGAAUCUGAUAGCCAACAGCAUGGAUCCUGAUCAGAAUUUGCGGAUGCGCAGGCUGGUCUGGGUCCAUGCUGGUUGCAAACGCACUUUGUUGGUUUUGUCAUGACGCGGCUCAUUUGAUGUAUUUCAGAUAUGCAAUUACUGUGUGGUACUAUGAUGAACAAGAAAGAAGAAGGGCGGUGAAAAAAUUCAGAAGGAGCGGAACUAUGGAUGCUAAAGAAAAGGGUAUGAUACCACUCAAUGGAAUGAAAGUAGAUCCGUGAUCAGCCAUGAAGCCAAAAACAUUAUCAGCUUUUAUGUUGAAUGCUACACCAUAGGCUCCGUGAAAGUCAAGCCAAGCUGUUAGCUUUGCAGUAUUAUAUAGAAUGUACUGGUAUAACAAAUAGAUGAUGAGAAAAUUUCAAAUUUAUCAUGAUUUAUAAACAUUGUUAUAUCACUAGUCUGAAGACAUUUUAUAGUUAAUGACAGUAUAUAUAAAACAGAUUUUAGAUAAAUGUGUUUAUUUACAAAUGUUAUGUAAAUAAUUGAGCCGCGUCACGACAAAACCAACAUAAUGCGUUUGCGACCAGCAUGGAUUCAGACCAGCCUGCGCAUCCGCGCAAUCUGAUCAGGAUCCAUGCUGUUCGCUACAAGUAGAGAAUCUGAUAGCAAACAGCAUGGAUCCUGAUCAAACUGCGUGAAUGUGCAGGCUGGUCUGGAUCCAUGCUGGUCGCAAACCCAAUAUGUUGGUUUUGUCAUGGCACAACUCAAAUGUUGUCUUUGAAUAAUAACUUCGCUUCACAUGUCGCUCAGUUUGGUGCUCUGCUUUGAAUUAGAGCCUGUCCAUAUGCAGUUUGAGGGAUGACACUUUCCAAAAUAAAAUAUUCAGCUGCCAGUGAUGAAGUUCUGUCAGACCUCAUGGAUGUGUACACUGACCUGGGUCAGUUGGUAGCUAAUGCUAUGGUCAAAAGUGGAAACCCUGAUAAUGGCCCCCAACAUAGCAAAAUUGAUAACGCUGCAUGCCCGACGUGAUUGUGCCUAUUCUUUGAUGGUAGUGGUUGGUGCAAGCUUUUAGAAACUUUAGUUAUCAUAUAAAACUUUGUGAAACCCUUGACAGUUGUUUUGUUAUGCAUUCCUAGUACACAAGAUUUGAACAUGCUUAAAAGCUGUGUCAUUUAAAGGGAGACCUAAAAUGUUUUAAGAAAACAAAAAGGCUUUCAAAUUUACAAUCUCUGAUAGUUGAUCUUCAUAAUGCAUAAUGAAAUUUAUUUAGUUGGUAUUAUUGCUUACUUAUGAAAACAAAGUCAUCCAAAUUUUGAGAAAAAAUAUUUUAGAUGUACGUGUUUUUAAGCACAGAGCACAACAUUUGCUUAAAAUUGUCAGGAAACCUCUGCAUGCAGUUGUAAUUUGAUUUAAUUUAGGAGAGUUGUUCAGAUAAAUUGAUUCACUUUGGUAAUCAAUACACUGCAUGCAUUCUCUUCUAUAAUGGUUAUUGUACAGUACUUGAGAUUUUUUUCUGGAGGUUUUUUUUUGUAAUUUUGAAGGAGAAUUUUAUUUACUUUUCAGAGAUUUUUUAUGGUCAUUUAUGUGCCACAGUGUUUCUCAUGUAAAAUAUUUUUUCAUGCAUUUUAUGUUAUAUACUAGCUGAUAUUCUGGAAAAAGGACUUGUUUAUGUUACACAUAUUGAAAUAAUUAUUUCUUUCAUUGUAUAAAUUAUUCAUUUUGACCAUUUGCAAGUAGAAAAAAAUGUGACUGCUUAAAAAAGUUUCAACAGCUUUAGUAAUAUAAUUUCUUUAUUUAAUAUACUGUUAAGGUAAAUUUGAACCAAUAUUUUUAUGGCAACUGUAAUAUAAUAUAUAUAUAGUCUUGUGUCAUGGCAGCUUUUGUAUGGAGUGUCCAUAGUUAAGUUUUUAUAUUGUUCUGCCAGGCAAGUAGAAUUAGUGAGAUAUUUAUGUUGAAUUAAUCAACAUAACAAAGUGCAAAAUAACCUUGUAAACCUGUAUACAUAUGAGCCGCGUCACGACAAAACCAACAUAGUGGGUUUGCAACCAGCAUGGAUCCAGACCAGCCUGUGCAUCCACACAGUCUGAUCAGGAUCCAUGCUGUUUGCUAUCAGAUUCUCUACUUGUAAUAGGGUUUGUAAGCGAACAGAAUGGAUCCUGAUCAGUCUGCGCAUCCGCACAGGCUGGUCUGGAUCCAUGCUGGUAGCAAACCCAUUAUGUUGGUUUUGUCAUGAUGCAGCUCAUUAUAAUGAUGUUGCUUGCUUCAGUGAAAACUUGCAUCUUAUAAAUACUGUUUAUAACUUCUCCCGGUGUUCUUAUAAAAUUGGCAUUACUGAUUUUGAUAUUUAAGAUAAGAGGUUCUUUGGUCACUGGCACUGUCAAAUGUUAUAUGCAAAGAAAUAGUAGUUUGUUAGAGUAAUAUUUGAAUCUUUUUUUAGUUUAGUUAUUGAUUGUUUAGAUAAGUGACUUUAUGUCUGUACAUGUCAAGAAUACAUUAUAUGGUAUGACAUAGACCUUUGUUUGGGUGGUUGAAGUCAGUAAUUUCUAAUACUUUGUCCCUUAGAGUCCCUCCUUGGUGUUUGAUCAUAUUAUGCCAAGAACAUGUCUGUUUUUGCUCGAUAUAGGGCUAUUGAAGGUGUUUUUUUUACAGUAAUGCCAGAGUAUGGCCAUAAAAAUGUCUUUGAGUGUCAUAAAAACUCAACGAAAACAAAGUCUUUGUACAUGAGGUACAUAUAACCAUUACAGUGAUUACGAUGAAAGUUAGAAAUCAUGUCAAGUGUUUGUUCUCCAUUAUUUAGAUUGUUAAAAUGCUGUAAAGUGCUUGUUCUAGUCUCUAAUUAAUGUGUUUAUAUUUAUAUCUGUAUUAAAGAAGUGUUCCAAUAUGAACCCGGAAAGAAAAUGUAGAAAUAUUGAAGUGUUUUAUUGACUUAAAGUUUUUGUGCUUACAGUUUAUCUUUACAUGAGUUUCUUUUUAACUAUUGUUCACUUAUACUAUUAUAGUGGAUACUUUAUUUUAUUAAAUAACUGUGAUUAAAAGUUUUCAAAAUAGAUGAGUCAUUGGAUCAUUUCAACUGUAAAUUUUAUGAUUUUCUCAAUGCCCUAUUAAAAACUAAGGGGAGUUUAUAAUUACAUGAUAACUAUAUAAUCCUUGAGUAACCUCAAGAGUUACCUCUCUUUAUGAAACAGAUCUUGAAGAAAAAUGAAGCUACUGUUUAUAAACGUGAAGCAUUCUUGUUGUCGCAGUAAAUGCCUUCAUUGUUGUAAAAUUUUGACAGAUCUUAUCUUAUUGUUAAGAAAUUGUUAUUUUAUAUUAAUUUUAAAAUUUAAUAAGGAGCUUAUUUCAUUUAAAUUGUUAUUGGCUAAAGUUAGUGACAUUUUAUAUAUUCUUGGUUGGUUUUUCUGUUCAUGAGUAUUUAUUUAUAGGAUCUGUGAUGAGUUAUGAGUUUUUAUUAACUUUUUAUGAAUUCAUUCAUUUCUGUUGUUUUGAAAUUCCUAUAAGUUAAUGUUAAAAUGAUUUAACAGCAGCUGAUAUGAAUGCCAAAUCCCACACGACAUCCACUCAUGUACUGCAUUUGAAAUUAGCUUCGAUUCUUAACUUUGUUAAACCCUUAGUACCUAUUUUUUUUUGGUUUUCUUCUGUCAACUUGAACUUGGGUCACAAUUUUGUUAGGUUGAAAUUUGCUGACAGCCAUUUUGAUUUCAGAUUUUUUAAAAAUAAAUUAAAGUUUAUGCAAUACAGUAGAAAUUUUAAGAAAUAAAUAAUGGUUAUAUUAUAUCAGAAACAAAGUGUUAUAAGUUAUUCAGUAAUAUCAUGUUAAAGAAUACAACUAUUGAGUCAAAAUAAAAUUAUGUAUAGAACUGCAAAAUAAAAUGUUAUUGAUGCCUA